AUCUGGCUGACGAGUCCCAAACAAAACGAAACGCGCGCCUUGGAU
rnacentral:hammerhead_ribozyme from 1 species